CCUCGGCCCCCUCCAGAGCCCGGCGCCAGCGGCUGCUGGCCGGGCCUCGGGGCCGUGCGGGCAGGGGAGGCCAGGGCUGGGCGCAGAGAGCCCGGCCGAGGGGCUGAGCCCGCGCCAACCCUUCCCUCCUGGCGCUCUCUGCAGCUGGCAGAGGACAGGAGCCGAGCGGCCGAGCACCUGCACCAGGCGCUGCCGUUCGUGGAGAGCCCGCAGGAGUCCCUGCGAGAGGCGGCCGUCAGGUUCAUCGGGACUGCCAGGGUGUUCUUGAGGGGGCACAAGGAAGAGCUCCAGCUCCUCAGUGAGGCCAUUCAAGCCCCGAGGAAUGACGCUGGCCCAUCCUGCUCUAAUCAGGAAAUUCAAGCCCACUUUGACCAAACAGCUGAAGAAGGUUCAUCUUCUGGAUCCCGUGAACCAGUGUCCCAAGAAUAGCACCAGAAGAUAGCGAAGAGGACAUCAUCUCCAAAUGCUGCUGGAGCUCCAGGCACAGCUGAUGCUGGGCACAGCUAAGCCUGUGGGAAGCUCGAGUGGCUUUAGCCCUCUCCCUCCCUGUAGAUAGCUCCAUCCCUCCAGCCCUCAGACAC